UUACAGCUAAAUUAUUCCCUAAGGCAAUUGAGGUGAAACACUACUUCGGAAGACUUUGCUAAUGUUUCAAAUUAGCAGCAGCAUUUGAUACAGUUGUCAGUAUUUUUCCAUUAACAGCGCUAACCUCCCCACCCUCCCUGUAAACCCAUUAAAUUGAUCUGAUUCCCAAGGAGCUGAUGGAAGAAUCCAGGAUGCUGUUUCUCCCAGUGAAGCUGAACUAAAGCAUUUGCAAGUACAGGCUGAUUCUCAGAUCACCCUGCUUCACUUAUUGAUCUCUGAUUCAGUGCAUUACAACCCAAAAACUUCUCCCUCCCCCUCUCCCUUUAAUCAGCAUAGAUCAUGUUUCAGCAGGGCUUAAUAGACUCUUGAGGAUAGUCAUAGAGUGCUUUACCCUUAUGACUUGGUGGCUGUGUAAUCAGUUCACUGGCUUAAAAUCCAUCUGAUUUUCUGGGAUUCUUCUGAAGAGAACUGCAAGGAGGCCGACAGUGACAGAAUUACACUGCAGGAGGCCCUUCUGCAGUCACUGUAAAAGGCAAGAACAAAUCUUGUUCUUUGGAUGCCUCCUCCGAUGAAACAGAACUGUGGCCAUUUGACAUGAGUAUUAACAGCUUUAUCAAGCUUAUGAAAAUGAGUCCAGGAGAAACAAAAGAUCCAAUCUCUGCAGCCUUGAGCACCCUGUGAAGAAGAACAUCAGUGUUUUAGCCCAAGCUGCAGCCAAAGAACCUCCCACCUUCAUGGGCCAAACAAGACUCUGCUGCCCCUGAGUUUGGCUCGGCCCUUUACAGCAGGCUGAUUACUGCCUUCUUGGUCCACAUUUGAAAAUUCCCUAAGAAGCCAGCAGUGUUCCCACCUACGCAGAAGAGACUGCGAAGAUGUGGAUGCACUUCAUCCAUCUAUACACAUGUUAAUGCAAGUUGUACUUAGUUCAAUCUAUCCCACCAUUUGCUCCCAUAUAAAAGAGGCUUUAUGCUUUUGUUUGAGACAAGUAUUUGAUUUAGAAUGUGAGUUACUGAGUGAAAACAUCAUAGCCUACACUGCAGGAGAAGAGGAUAAUAGAUCUAUCUAAUUCUCUCUUUUCACCUUACAUUUGCUAGAUCCUGCACAUCUGGUUACAUCUAUGUGGGAUAAAGGAGAGAGACUUCAUGUAGCUCACCUAGCAAAAAAUGCUCAGUAGUUUUUGCUCUGAUAAAAAUACCAUUACAUUAUAUGUUGUCUUGGUUUGGAAAGACAGGUGUCUGCUGAGGAAGGCAGGACUCUCCCCUGAAAUGGAAAAAUGUAAACCCCCCCUCCCUCUGAAUUGCUAUAAAUUUUAAAUUAAGGGGCUUUCAGGCAAAAAUAUGGGAGCAGGAAUAACAGUUCUUUAUUAGGGAAGAAAAUAAAAACAUAAAAUAAACAAUGCAGUAAACCAAAACAACGCUGACAGAGUCAGAACCCAACCUGACACCCUGUGGGUCAGGGUGUUGGUAGCAGUCCAAUUGGAAUUGUGGCUGCAGUCCUCCUGGAGUGUCAGGUGUGGUUCUGUUGGAGGAGGGAUCCUGUAGAAGAGGUAUAGUCUUCCUCUGAAGAUCCAGUGGAAGAGGCAGCUGUUCCUCUGGGAAAUCCAGUGGAGAAGCCAUGCUGGUGUUCCAGAAUCUCCACAUUAUAUCUGGGUAGAAUGCUUGGUUCCUUCCCUCUGGGCAAAUAUCUCACAAUGGGAUGCUAUUGUUCUUAUCA